rnacentral:rRNA from 1 species
GACGUCAAACCGAUAAAACAGCAGUGUAAAGUGAGCCGCAGGGCGCUUUGCGCGACAGCGCAAAGGCAGGCGGUUUCGCGUAGCGAAAGCGAAUGCUUUGGGGUGGGGUGACUGCGUACCUUUUGUAUAAUGGGUCAGCGACUUAUAUUCUGUAGCAAGGUUAACCGAAUAGGGGAGCCGGAGGGAAACCGAGUCUUAAUUGGGCGUUAAGUUGCAGGGUAUAGACCCGAAACCCGGUGAUCUAGCCAUGGGCAGGUUGAAGGUUGGGUAACACUAACUGGAGGACCGAACCGACUAAUGUUGAAAAAUUAGCGGAUGACCUGUGGCUGGGGGUGAAAGGCCAAUCAAACCGGGAGAUAGCUGGUUCUCCCCGAAAGCUAUUUAGGUAGCGCCUCGUGAAUUCAUCUCCGGGGGUAGAGCACUGUUUCGGCUAGGGGGCCAUCCCGGCUUACCAACCCGAUGCAAACUGCGAAUACCGGAGAAUGUUAUCACGGGAGACACACGGCGGGUGCUAACGUCCGUCGUGAAGAGGGAAACAACCCAGACCGCCAGCUAAGGUCCCAAAGUCAUGGUUAAGUGGGAAACGAUGUGGGAAGGCCCAGACAGCCAGGAUGUUGGCUUAGAAGCAGCCAUCAUUUAAAGAAAGCGUAAUAGCUCACUGGUCGAGUCGGCCUGCGCGGAAGAUGUAACGGGGCUAAACCAUGCACCGAAGCUGCGGCAGCGACACUGUGUGUUGUUGGGUA